GCGGGGUGGGUGGGUGUGUGUUCUGGUAGUAUGAUUUUGUGCAUGUUUUCUAAUACUUACUAACAUAGAGACCUUGAUAAGUGGAUUUUAUACAGCCACUUAUUUUUAAAUAUUUAAAUAAAUAUUAGCUUUUUAUCCACAUACAUUGUUACAUUUGUCCAUUGUACAUAUGCAUUGUGCCAUUUUCUUGUUAUGCUUCCAAUUUCUGUUAUUUUUCAUUGUCACACAUGAGGAUUUUAAAAACAUUUAAAAUUAUUAGAAAACAGACAACAAACAAAACAGGGAACAUUUCUUUGUGCCAAAGAGGAGUUCUCACUGUUAUGUUGAAAGUUUUAUAUACAUUAAUUAUUCUUGUCUACUUUGCAUCCAAACGACUGUCUGUGAAAGAUAGAAAGAUAGAAAAUACAUACACACGUGUGUGUGUGUGUGUGUGUAUACACACCCACACUCUUAUACUAUGUGUAUGCAUUUGUGUUUCUUCACAGAAUAUGCUAUUAAAAUCAAUCAGGUCUGAUACAUUUUUAAAUUGAUGGGGAAAAAUCAACUGAUUGAACAGCAGUUUCUGUAGUGUGCUGUGUUGUAUCAGUUAAAAUGAAAAUAAAUGUCAUGCAAAAAACCAUAUCCAACCCUCCCUCCACCAGCAAAAAACAACAACAAACAACCUUUUCAACUCCUGAUUUUUAGCCAUCAGGAGUGGAGAGAGACACAGACAGCAUGGUCCCAGCAUGCUUUUUGCCGUUUUUUUUUGUUUGCACAUUAGCUGUCAGUUGCAGCCCUGCAGGUAGUAGAACCCAGUGGGAAGAGGGGCGGGACAGAAUGAUGCAGCCUGAACUGACAGCAAAUUUAAAUCACUGAGCCUUCUUUUUUUUUUUUUUCCCUCCUUUGGUUUUUUUUUUAUUAUUAUUAUUUUUUCUACUCUGCGACAAACUGAAAAGAUUCUAGCACACGUUAAUUUAACAACCCUGCUUCUUCUGUUUUUUUCCCUCCUUUCUGCUUCCAGGAUAAUUAAAAGAGAAACCUGUAAAGGCAACAUUCCUUCAAGCGAGUUGGUGCUGCAACGUGCUGAUAUUCAGCUGAAAACUGAAAAACAACUGAAAAACAAGGACUAGAGAGACUGCCACAGAGUUAGCUGGAACAUUACCAAGUCACAAAGGAAUGCUUACCAUUCUGCAUCUGGGAAAAAUGAAAAUAGAGAUUCAACAGCAGCUGACUAGUUAAUCCUUGCUUGAAGACAUUGGUAUUUACUAUGUUUCAUAAUCAUUUAGUUGUGUCAUUUUCCUUAGUUUUAAGGGUAGAGUAUGUCCAAUCUGAUUGCACUGCAUGUCAUUAACUUAACUUUGACUUGGCAUUAGUUGACAAUAUGAAGUGAAAAUAUGAAACCUUUGUACAGCAGAAGUGAAUUCUACCCUGGUAGUUUUAAAUGCUUUGAAGUUAAAAUGAGAAAUCUACACUAAGAGCUUGAGUAAGCAUCCAGUUUCUAUCUCACUGCUAAUGGAAACCUAACUGUGUGUUUGAAUUCUUGCCACAGCUGAAAUUAAAGUCUGGUGGUAAUAUGUCACAAGUAGAAAUUAGAUUAUAUGAGCAAUGUGCAUGAGGCAUUGUAAUUGUAUUAUAAAUAUUAAAGCCAAUGAUCUUGUCUAGAUUAAAACAAAUGUUUACAGCUGUGUGAGUCUUGGCGUUCUUCUUCUAAUCUUCAAGCUUUUUUCUGGUGUGACCUGUCAUUGCUUUUGUUUCAGUAGUAGACUUCUUUGAUUUACUCUUUAUUGAUUAGUUUUUGAGAUAUUCUUUGUUCAAACUGCAAAUUAAUACUUUUGAUAUUAACGAUUCAUAAAUUUAGAACCUAAUCCAAGAAUUUUUUUCUUCUGUCGAUGCUGAUUUUCUUCCCAAAAUGAUUCAUUUCAAUAGACACAAUUUUAGGUAUUGGGAUUUUAAAAAUAUAAAAGAAAUAACUGUUCUUUUGUAGAUACUGUGCUAUCCACACAUUUGCCUAAUGAGACAAACAAACAAAAAAAAAGGCCACUCCGCCGCAGUUCAGAAUAUUAAAACUUAUUUAUGUAACUAAACAGAGAAAAGUCAUUAUGUUUACAAAUAGUCAUAAGCAUAUACGUGGUAUAAAUUGUUCAAAUCCUUUCCUUCAUUAGUAAAUUGGCCCAAAAGAAUCUCCUCUUUAACCCUUCCGAGCAUAUGGAAGUGUGUAUAUGUGUAUGCUAUGUAUUUGUCUGCUCAUCUGAAGGAUGUCAGCAUUUUCAGGGUUAAUGGUGCCUCCAGGGGUUUUCUGGCUUUGUCAACAUACUAAAAAUAAAUAUUCUUUCCAAAUUUGUGCACAGAUUAAUUGGAUUAUAUAUAAAAAAGUGCGUGCUCCAAUUUCCCAGAAAAGAGUUAAUAAAUUAGGAAACAUGUUUUCUUUCUCUCCUGUCCUAAUUAAGAGACUCAUAAGUGUGUGUUCAAAAAGUAAAGGUAAGAAAAGAAUCCCUGUUAAAACACAGGAGGGUGGAUUGUUUGGUUUUUUUUUCAUGUUGGCAUCAGCCAUCAAAUGCUGUUGAGCAUUUUCUGAAUAAUCAUUUUAAAUAGGAAGACACGUUUUCUUCUGAUUUACUUAGCCAAAAGAUUCACCAACAGAUUUCAUAAGUGCUUAGGGUCAAGAUGGAGAAAAAUUGAAAAACUGAGUUUUGUAAACUUCUGUUAAAAGGAAAUUUAAUGGAUAAUUUUGUGUUUGUAGAAAGAUAUAAAUUAGAAACAAAUACAUGAUGGGAUUAACUGCAAGAACUUGAUAGCUAGGUUUUAUACUACGUGUCUUUGUCUUUACUGCCUUAUUUCUGUUGAUAUGUUUAGAUAAUAUAGAAUAGAGAGAGAAUUGAUUUUAAACUUAAAAUCCAAUAGAUUCAACUUCAUUAUUUUAUUAUAUAUAUAUAUAUAUAUAUAAGGCCAUGGAUUUUUGUUUUUCGAAGAAAGGUUUUCUAUGUAUAACAGCACAUCAAAGAAAAGAUCUUCAUAAGGAAAACUUCAUAAUAUUGUUAGGUUGUUCAUUGCAUGACCUAUUUAGAGUACUCAGAUUAUUCUUGUUGUAGACUACAUAAUUAAAUUUUAAAUGGAACAUGAUAAAGAAAUUAUACUGGUGAUCUCCGGAGACUUGAAUACCCUAUUUGGCUCUUUACAAGAGUGUAGCAAAGGCAUAUUUUAAAAUUUAAUAAAGGUCUGGCCUCAUUUUUUUCCUCUUAGAUUUUCUAGAGCUGCUGUGCCAAUCCUGUUCCAAAGCUACUUUUGCAGAUCUAUACUAUCUACAUGUUACCUGAAAUAACAGAUCAAAAUAUAGUUCUUAAAAGCAUGUUUAUCUUGACUUGAGAAAUCCGUUAUUUAAGCAUGAUACAGCAUAGCUGAUCAAUCAAACUAGUCUCAUAAAACCUACAGUGCCUGAAUUGGUACCUGUAGAAAAUUGGGCUUCAUCUUGUUUUGGUAACAUUUGUGUUGUCCUUAGAACUUAUCAAGCAAAAGAGGCAGAGUAUUAUUUUGGAGCAACAGGCAUUUUGCAAUGUAGACUGCCUAUUCUCAGAGCAUAAAUUGCACUCCAUGAGGGGGUCAAAGAGACAAGACAACACAGCCAAGGAACAAAUAAGAAUACUUGGCUUCCACAUCUAAGGAGCCGUUUUCGUCUCUAGGGUAAAUAAAACAUGUUUCCUAACCUUCCAUGAUUUUUUUAUAUAUAUAUUUAAAGAGACAUAAUCUGUAUAAAAUCCUAUAUUUUAAAUAUUUAUCUCUUUACUAUUAUACUAAUAACAGCUUAGGUUAUUACUGCUAAAAGAAAAUUUAAGAUCUUAUUAACUUGCUAUGUUUUGUGCUGCUGGCUUAAUUUUGCGUUUCAUUCAUCAGUACUUGGGAGAAUGAAGUGAACCGGUCACUUCCUGUAGUAACCCAGGGCUCUUGUUUGCAUUUCCAGAACUCCAGGGAAAUGUGUAAAAUGCCUGUGUAAAUGAAAGUAAGAAUAGAUCCAAGAGCUGUUGUUGAAAUUAGAUCAAAAUUUGAGUAAGGUUUUUUUUAUUACACUGUGUUAGUAAUUGGCCUCUUCAAACAAUAAAUAAACAAAUAAA